UCGCCAGUACGAACGGUACGACUAAUCAGUUCGCAGGGCAGGAAGAAGACCCGCACGAAGGAUCAGUGCAGCGGCUGUGCCACGGAAAUAAUAGUGAGGAAGCUACUGAAAAACACACCACAAAACUUGAAGUUUUCUUCGCGUUGGGUACCACAAUUCUUCAUAUUUUAAAUGUGGUAAAGUUUUAUGAUACCAUUAUUUACCGAAGCAACGAUAAUUUUUAUAGUUUGACGAGCAUAUUUUAUUUAAUAUCAGCUUUUGUGACAACAUGUUUUAGCUGGAAUAUAAACAAAUUUAAGCCACAACAAAAAGAAUGUAAUUUUUAUAGACGUGGAAUUUUAAUCGCUGCAUUUGCCGUUAUCCAAAUUUGUCAUAUUUACUAUAGAAUUAUUUCUGAGCCACAAAGCUAUGACCAAAUUUUUUUAACCAUUCUUUGGUAUCUGUUAACGACGAUACCACUUUUUAUUAUCUUUCACCUAUUUACUUUGGAAAUAUAUGUACUGAUGUCCUUUUACGGUAUUAAAUCUCUAAUAAGCAAAAAGCGGGAAGAACAACAGUAUUACUAUUACCUGCUGACAAAAACUCGGGCCGACGCUGGACUUCUUGGUCUAUUAGAUGGAGCUUUCAGAAUAAUACCACAUCAGAUUUUACAGAUAUACAUUUUUUUCAAAUUUGGGUUCAGCUGGCAUUUUGACCAGGUUGCAGAACUUUUCUCAUUUUUGGACAUAGCUUGGUCUUCAACCUUUUACCAGUCUUUACUCAGGAUGCACCGCCCGAACAAACACGACAUGAACCUAAAGAUUAAGUACUGGUAUUACACUUGGAAUUUAUUUAUCUGUAUUUCAAGAAUGUUGUGUAUUGGCGCUAUAGCAGCCCUUUGGCCCGUUGCUGUUGUAAUUUUGUCAUUUGUGCAUUGUGCAGGAUGGGCUUUUUGGUUAUGGUGGAACCAUCCGUCACUUGAUUUUACCCGUAUUAGUAAAUAUUGGCACAUACUCUUUUGCUGUGUGAUUGGUGUCGUCUACUUUACGUUUCCAAUUAACUUAGACGAUAAACCAAAGAAAUAUUGUAUAUUUUAUGGUAUAAUGUUGAUGGAGAAUUGUGUAGGAAUACUAAUUUGGUACUUUAAUGAAGAGGCAUCAUGGGGUUACUUUGUAUUAAUUCUAGCAAUAGGUAGUACUGGUCUUGGAAUGAUAUUUCAGAUAUUAUACUACGCUCACUGUCAUCCUAGUAAAGUUUAUGCCAAAAACAUUACGGUACUCGUACAAGAAAAUCUAUUUGGUAGUAGUGAUAAUUAAAAAAAAAACGAUGUUUAUACCAUGGUCCAAAAUACUUCUCGUAAAAGGAAUAACGUAAGUUGAUCCUAUUUUAUUCUAAUAGCUCUGUCGAUCAUGUCCUACGUAUGCUGUCACAGCUUCCCUUUAGGAGAAAACUUUUGGGUCAUAGAGUACUUAUAGAAAUUUGUUCCGUGUAUUAUGUUGUACACUCUUUAGUUAUGUUCUUUGUUCCUUUAUAUAUAUUUAUAGUAUUCUCUUGAGAUUGCAAAUAAAUAUAUUACCUGCAAA